rnacentral:lncRNA from 1 species
UUAGACUGAGACUCAGAUCUGAUCGACAAGAAAACACCCAUGAUGAGACAAGAUGGCUUGGGGAAGGAGGCAGGAUUCCAGGCCCAGAGAACAGCCACUGCCAAGAUCUGGAGACAGGAAAUGUCUUGGUGUGUCCCGGGAUCAAGAGGAAGGCCAGUGUGGCAGGAGCAGAGGGAAUAACAAGGAGAGUGACAGAAGACAAGCGUUUGGAAUACAAGCAAGAAAUCAAGCGUUGCCCCUACUGGGAUCCAUGCUAAGCAGUGGAAGACAUGAUGCUCAUUGGAAGAGAAAGGCACUUAACUCAGACUUGUUGUCGGGGAUUGGAGAGGACAGAUUCAUUCUGACUUUGACCAUGUGAUUUGCUUAGGCUGGUGGGACAUCAGUAAAGAGAGCAAGCAGAGGUUUGAUAAGGGCCUGCACACUGGGGACUUGCUGUCUUGGAUCUCUGCCCUGGGAUCUUCCCGAUGUGAAGAACCUCGGGAUGAAAGACCAAGCAAGGAGAAAGGUCCAGCCACAUCAGCUGUGCAGCCCCCCAGUACACAGCUGUACAUUCUUCGUUGUGGGUCCUUCUAGUUGUGGCACGUGGGACGCCACCUCAGCGUGGCUUGAUGAGCACUGCCAUGUCCGCGCCCAGGAUUCGAACCAAUGAAACACUGGGCCGCCUGCAGCGGAGCACGCGAACUUAACCACUCAGCCACGGGGCCAGCCCCUAAAAAACUGUUCUUAAGGAAAAAUAAAAUUCAAAAUCGAGUGAAAACAAACCUGAAAGCUAGAUGAAGAUACCUCAAAGAAACGCUGCCUAUGUCACUUUUCCAAGACAACUGACAACUGAAAUCUAUGAGCAACACUUUCUGGCUUGGAAAACCUUCCUAAAGUGUGCAGUUGGUGCACGUGGUCUGCCUCCUGUCACAGUACCCAUAAGGCAUUCACUCAAAGAUGAGGCAUUUGCCUUCGACUUCCUGGAGCUUUUCUGUGCAAUACGAUGAAGGCCAAGGCAGCAUGACUUUGCACCCUUUAUGCAGCAGGAAACGGCUGGUUUAAAACCUGUCUCUGGGUCAGCUCUCCUGUUCAGCUUUCUGUUCUUCAAUUGGCAGAAAAGGGGGGCUACUAGAGAAGCUGAG